AAUUAUAUAUAUAUGUCACGUGAUCAAUGACAUUUGUAUUUUGCGCAUUUACUGAAACAGCGGGAAUGGAUAAGAAUAAUUGUGGUGUUUCAGUUUCAACGACUUCGGAAGAGGAAAAAGUUUUUUUGCACUGCUACGGAAAUUUGAAUAGAUUGGUAAAAGAUGAGCUUGAUCGAGUCAAUCAAUCUUUGGCUUUUUGGGGAAACACGCAUAAAAUUUAGGUUUCCGGAAUCUGAUUAACAAGAUUAGUGCUUAUAUCACUGUUAUUCCGAACGUCGAUCGGUGGCAAACAGUCCCGAGCUCCCAAUCCCGGAGUCGAUGGUCUUUGAUGCAGCGGUGCUUCGAGUCUUUGUUCAUGCGCCACCAGGUAGAAAAAUCUCAUCGGUGCAAUCUGCAAGAAAGAUUGUCACGACUUACAUGUCAUCUAAUAAUUAUGCGAAGGGAAAUGGAUAAAUGGAAUAAAGUAAUACUUACCCUUUUCCACGCGUAAAUAUAAGCGACGUCCAUGAGGGUCCAAUUUUCGGGAAGGGUUGCGCGUCGAUGACAAAUUUCGAUGGUGUAUCUUGUUACGUCAACGCUGUAUUUCAUUGAUAUGAACUUUUUCAAAUGCGCAAUAGUCACGAGAGCUGGACACUGCAAGUAUCUCCUGCUGUUGCCGGUAUUGCCAUUGUGAUUACUGUUAUUGGUAUUGCCACCGCUGUGGACGCUAUUCGAGCUGUUCGUAUCCGCGUCAUUGAUACUCAAUAUAUCCAACGGAUCUGCUUCUGGCGGCAGGAAUGCAAACACUCCACUAUGGUUGUGGCAUCUAUGAGGUAGCCUCGACACAGUAGACAGACCAAAUGUUGGUUAAUAUCACACUUCAGGAUUCAAUCGAUUAUUACCAUCAACUUGAGUAUUAAUUCCAUGAGAAAUUGAAGAGCAUCGUCAGAAAUAUUUUUAACCGGGAUGUUUUUUUACGAUGCAGUUUACGCGAAGCCGCAAAAUGCAUCCAAAAUGCAUUAUAACUCAGUGUCGUAAUCGACGUUCGGACUGUUAAUACGCAUCCCUGGCUGAUGCCUAUUCCAGCAUGUUUGCCUACCGACGAAUGAAUCCCAUGCGAUUCCGAGGACGGAACGAGAAAACGCAUAAAUGCAAGUAUGUACGCUGAAAAGAGAGUAAUAUGAGAGAGGGAGAGGAAGAGAGAGAGAAAAGGGGGGGUCGGUGGGAGAAGAAGGAGGGAGAGAGGAUAGGGAGAGAGAAUACGCGGGGGACAACGGAGAAACAGACGAGGAGAACCGUCCACCUCGUCGCUCCAUCUCACGGCACACAGGCGCAUAACGUCUCUGUGUAUACACCGGCGUGUGUAGGUGUAUGUGUAGGAUUUAUUUCGCGCAUGCGAUCCGGAGCAGCGGGGACGAGUGACGCUACGUUACUCCCGGUUGACGAUUCUAGAGCACGAGCGAGUCUACGCGCGCGCGCGCGCGCGUAGACCACACGGCGGCGAGAGACGCGUCUUUCGCGCGACACGAGACACGACGGGACACCACGUAUGCGCGAGGCGCCCACGGACGAC